rnacentral:rRNA from 1 species
UACGUAGGGGCAAGCGUUGUCCGGAAUCAUUGGGCGUAAAGCGCGUGUAGGCGGCCCGAUAAGUCCGCUGUGAAAGUCCAGGGCUCAACCCUGGAAUGCCGGUGGAUACUGUCGGGCUCGAGUCCGGAAGAGGUGAGUGGAAUUCCUGGUGUAGCGGUGAAAUGACGCAGAUAUCAGGAGGAACACCAAUGGCUAAGGCGGCUCUCUAGUACGGUACUGACGCUGAGACGCGAAAGCGUGGGAGCGAACAGG